rnacentral:rRNA from 1 species
UACGUAGGGCGCAAGCGUUAUCCGGAAUUAUUGGGCGUAAAGAGCUCGUAGGCGGUUUGUCGCGUCUGCCGUGAAAGUCCCGGGGCUCAACUCCGGAUCUGCGGUGGGUACGGGCAGACUAGAGUGAUGUAGGGGAGACUGGAAUUCCUGGUGUAGCGGUGAAAUGCGCAGAUAUCAGGAGGAACACCGAUGGCGAAGGCAGGCUCUGGGCAUUAACUGACGCUGAGGAGCGAAAGCAUGGGGAGCGAACAGG